AUGGAAAGCAAACUCAAUCCAAAAGUUCAAAGGCAAGAAAAUCCAUGUGAGCCUUGCAUCCACUACUUAGAUGAGUUUAGUCACCACAUUGUGUGGGCCAACACAGUUAAGCUCUACAACCAUAAUGUCCGUACACUGCGAAAGAUCAUCCGCAGCACCACCACGCCUGAUAACUACUAUGUGUGCCACAUGACAGAAACAUUUGCAACACAAGGCAAAAGAAUGUACUUUAGCGUUCCUUUUUCUAGGGGUUCCAUUUCCCACACAUGGAUGCUGACCAUGGUGAACUGCCAAUCACUACUGGAGACGGAACUGCCGCUGUCACGGCCCGCUUUAUCAAGGGUGUUCACAAAAGGGCAACCAUCACUGAAGGCUGGAGCGACUUCUUCCGUCAGGCACACAUGA
rnacentral:rRNA from 1 species